ACUCGGAUAACCGUAGUAACACUAGAGCUAAUACGUGCGUAAAUCCCGACUUUUGGAAGGGACGUAUUUAUUAGAUUUAUGGCCAGCCGGGCUUGCCCGACCAGCGGUGAAUCAUGGUAACUUGACGGAUUGCAUGGCCUCCGUGCCGGCGACGUGUCAUUCAAGUUUCUGCCCCAUCAGGUUUCGACUGUAGUGUAUUGGACUACAGUGCCUAUAACGGGUAGCGGAGGAUUAGGGUUCGAUUCCGGAGAGGGAGCCUGAGAAACGGCUACCACAUCCAAGGAAGGCAGCAGGCGCGCAAAUUACCCAAUCCCAAUUCAGGGAGGUAGUGACAAGAAAUAGCAAUGCGGGGCUUCUUGCUCUGCAAUUGGAAUGAGAACAAUUUAAAUCACUUAACGAGUAUCAAUUGGAGGGCAAGUCUGGUGCCAGCAGCCGCGGUAAUUCCAGCUCCAAUAGCGUAUAUGUAAGUUGUUGCGAUUAAAAAGCCCGUAGCUGAACCUCGGGCAACCCUGACGGUCCGCGUUUCGUGAGUACUGUCGUGGGUUGUCUUUCUGGCAAGACCGUAUCUCGGUGUUAACUCGCCGGGAACGGCGCUUGCCAAGGUUACUUUGAGUAAAAUAGAGUGUUCAAAGCAAGCUCGCGCUCUGAAUACACUAGCAUGGGAUAACACGACAUGACCGAUGGUCUAUCUUGUUGGCCUGUAGACCUGUUGGUAAUGGCUAAUAGGGACGGUCGGGGGCAUUCGUAUUUCGCUGUCAGAGGUGAAAUUCUUGGAUUUGCGAAAGACGAACUACUGCGAAAGCAUUUGCCAAGGACGCUUUCAUUAGUCAAGGACGAAAGUCGGGGGAUCGAAGACGAUUAGAUACCGUCGUAGUCUCGACCAUAAACG
rnacentral:rRNA from 1 species